UACAGAGGUCUCAAGCGUUGUUCGGAUUCAUUGGGCGUAAGGUGGUGUAGGUGGCGCGCUAAGUCGGGUGUGAAAUUUCGGAGCUUAACUCCGAAACUGCAUUCGAUACUGGCGUGCUUGAGGACUGGAGAGGAGACUGGAAUUUACGGUGUAGCAGUGAAAUGCGUAGAUAUCGGGAGGAACACCUGUGGCGAAAGCGGACUCACUGGACCACAACUGACGCUGAGGCGCGAAAGCUAGGGGAGCAAACAGG
rnacentral:rRNA from 1 species